UACGUAGGGUGCGAGCGUUAAUCGGAAUUACUGGGCGUAAAGCGUGCGCAGGCGGUUCGUUAAGUUCGUUGUGAAAGCCCCGGGCUCAACCUGGGAACUGCAAUGGAAACUGGCGGGCUUGAAUGCGGCAGAGGGGGGUGGAAUUCCGCGUGUAGCAGUGAAAUGCGUAGAGAUGCGGAGGAACACCGAUGGCGAAGGCAGCCCCCUGGGCCUGCACUGACGCUCAUGCACGAAAGCGUGAGGAGCAAACAGG
rnacentral:rRNA from 1 species